CCUACGGGGGGCAGCAGUCGAGAAUCUUCGGCAAUGGGCGCAAGCCUGACCGAGCGACGCCGCGUGCGGGAUGAAGGCCUUCGGGUUGUAAACCGCUGUCGAGGGGAAUGAAGUGCAGGUGGGUUCUCCCAUCUGUUUGACAGAUCCCUGGAGGAAGCAUGGGCUAAGUUCGUGCCAGCAGCCGCGGUAAGACGAACCAUGCAAACGUUAGUCGGAUACACUGGGCUAGGAGCUCUUGUUAGUGGGCUGUGAAAGCCCUCAGCCCAACUGAGGAAUUGCGCUUGAUACUGCAUGACUAGAGAAUGAUAGAGGUGGGUGGAACUGAUGGUGGAGCGGUGAAAUGCGUUGAUAUCAUCAGGAACACCAGUGGCGAAGGCGACCCACUGGGUCAUUUCUGACGCUGAGGUACGAAAGCUAGGGUAGCGAACGGGAUUAGAUACCCUUGUAGUC
rnacentral:rRNA from 1 species